AGGUUUGUAACUCAGUUGGUUAGAGUACCCGCUUGAUAAGCGGAAAGUCGGUGGUUCAAAUCCACCCAGACCUA
rnacentral:tRNA from 1 species